UACAGAGGGUGCGAGCGUUAAUCGGAAUUACUGGGCGUAAAGCGCACGUAGGUGGCGACGUAAGUCGGGUGUGAAAGCCCCGGGCUCAACCUGGGAAUUGCAUUCGAGACUGCAUUGCUGGAGUACGGAAGAGGAAGGCGGAAUUCCCGGUGUAGCGGUGAAAUGCGCAGAUAUCAGGAGGAACACCGGUGGCGAAGGCGGGUCUCUGGGCCGAUACUGACGCUGAGGAGCGAAAGCGUGGGGAGCGAACAGG
rnacentral:rRNA from 1 species